ACUAAGAUUUCUAAGAUUUCUAAUUCAUCAGUUUAUCAAUGAUCAUACCAUAAUGACGUACUCAAAGGAAGAUAAGAUCGAUAUGAUUUUCAUUUGUGCGGCUGUAUAAAAAGCGAUUUCCUAAUCGUGAUUGUCCAUCAGUUUCUGUUUAUCAUAAUUUGGUAAAAAAAUUCCGUGAAACCGGUAGCGUUGACAAUAAAAACCAAACAAAUGAACUCCAGAGAACUAAAAUCUGUUACUUCACGCUUAAAUAAAUGUAUCGAGGCUGAAGGAAAUAAUCUCGAACAUUUACUGUAACAGAAAUAUAGCAAAUAAACCUCACAUGUUGAACUCAAUUUAUUUCGUAUUUCUAGCUUCAAGGUCAUGUUGUACUACAGUGUUGAAGUUGUUUAGAUGUCGGCUAUAAUAUGCAACGGAAAAAACUAUGCAAUCCCAUUUAA